CCACUGUCGUUAUGAAGGAGCUUGUUACCCUAGAAAAAGAACGUGGUUGCUCUGUCUAUUACCAGGGGUAAUCAGUGUGUGUGUAGGAGUAAUCAUUUUUACUAUUCUUCAAACCGACGACAACUACAAGUAUGUUCACAGCACGUGGCAUAUUUCUAUAGCGUUAUCAGUCUUGUUUCUUCUCCCUGAACGCCGAGAAACUAAAGAUCUACCACAAGAGGGCUCUCACUUGAGUUGGAAGCAUCACGGAUCGUUCAAGUUUCUGCAAUAUAGUGAAACAGACAUGUUAUAGAACAGACCACGAUAUACUAACCUAAGAUAAAAUUAAUUAUAAGUUAAAACGUUCAGAGUCCAGCAAGCCAACGGUUUUAAGACUUCACAUACUGUGAUAUCAAAGAGCAAUAGCUGUUUAAACCUUUUAGAUUUUUAGAACUUUUACGUGUUUUCUAAUCAUGAAGAAAUAAGGGCUAGUACUGAAUAUGGAUGUUUACUCAGAGUUCCGGAACAAAUUAACAACGGAAUUAUCUCGUUCUUUUCCUUGUGAUGGUAUUCCUCAUCUUUGAAAGUGGACAGACUUAGCUAUUCCAACAACCUAAUGUUACCCUGGAUCUUUAAAAUCACUUAAACAUCAUGGAUCAAUUCACGUUGUUUCUUUAAAAUGAUACUAACAGCCUUAAUUCAGUAACGUCGAAGUUUACCUAUUGAAUUAGUUACACGUUGCGAUGGUAUAUAUAUGUUACCGCUUACUGUAGCGCUGUAUACAAGUACAGAAACAUUAAUUUUCUACACUUGAAAGAGUGUUCUGUUUAAACUAACACCGGAGGAAUACCUAAUAUACUACUGGACCAAUCGCUCAGAAAAACUUCUUUUGAUAUAAAUUUCGUAAAUAUUUUAUAAGGAAUAUUUUUAUACAACACUUUUCAAUAAAUUUCUCAAAUAUUGUGGCGUACGCAACCAACACAUACCAAGAUGAAUCUUUCCUUAGCAACCGACAAAUACCGAGAUGAUAGUUUUUAUUGCCUAGCGAUCAACACAUACCGAGAUGAGAAUGUUUUUGCUGCCUAGCGAUCAACACAUACCGAGAUGAGAAUGUCUUUGUUGCCUAGCGAUGAACACAUACCGAGAUGAGAAUGUCUUUGUUGCCUAGCGAUGAACACAUACCGAGAUGAGAAUGUUUUUGCUGCCUAGCGAUGAACACAUACCGGGAUGAGAAUGUCUUUGCUGCCUAGCGAUGAAUACAUACCGAGAUGAGAAUGUCUUUGUUGCCUAGCGAUGAACACAUACCGAGAUGAGAAUGUUUUGUCUGCCUAGCGAUGAACACAUACCGAGAUGAGAAUGUCUUUUUUGCCUAGCGAUGAAUACAUACCGAGAUGAGAAUGUCCUUGUUGUUUUAGAAAUUCAUGUUUAAUGUGUAUCACGUUUAAUGAUACACUAUUUUUUUGUUAGAUACAUUGUUAAACGAUUACUUAGAAGUUAAAGAUACAAUAGAAUUAUUUUCAGAAUUAGACACAUUUUACAUAAUAAUAAAAUAAAUAAAUGGUGAUUAUGAAUUGCAAAA